rnacentral:rRNA from 1 species
UACGGGGGGAGCAAGCGUUGUUCGGAAUUACUGGGCGUAAAGGGCGCGUAGGCGGCCGCCUAAGUCAGACGUGAAAUCCCUCGGCUCAACCGGGGAACUGCGUCUGAUACUGGGUGGCUUGAAUCCGGGAGAGGGAUGUGGAAUUCCAGGUGUAGCGGUGAAAUGCGUAGAUAUCUGGAGGAACACCGGUGGCGAAGGUGGCAGCCUGGACCGGUAUUGACGCUGAGGCGCGAAAGCCAGGGGAGCAAACGGG